rnacentral:lncRNA from 1 species
GGGCGGGGCCUUCUGUGGCGCCACUUCCUCCUCCAGCCAGCUUUAGCCUGCUUUCCUUCUGUUGUCGCCCACUUUCCUUCAUUUUCGCUCUCUUUCCUUACGGAUAUCGGCCCCUUUUCUUCCUCUCAUAGCCCGCGUAGGUGUCCAGAUGCUCCCGAAACGGCGGCGAGUGCGGGUCGGCUGUCCCGGUGGUGCUGUCACUUCCUCCACUUCGCCCUUAGUGCUCUUUCCCGGCGUCGCCAUCUACCUGGCUGAACCGCGCAUGGGCCGUAGCCGCCGGGCCUUUCUCACACGCCUGGCGCUGUCGAAGGGCUUCCGUGUCCUCGAAGUCUACAGGUGUGCCUACCUCUGCGUGGGGCACUGCGAAGAUCUGAUGUUGGUGUGGGGCCGGCUAAGCAGGCUUUUUCGCUGGGCCCGUUCAGAGACCCAGGUGACACAUAGCAUGCUCCUGCGGGGCGGCUGCACCUGCGUUAUUGGAUUCCAAAUUAUCUGUGGCUCUUUGGUCAAGUAAUCUUUCUUGAAAGGGAUUUUUAAAAAUUUUUAGGUACUGGGUAUUGAAUCCAAGGGCCCUUUACUGCAGAGCUACAUCCCCAGCCCUUUUUAUUUUUAUUUUUUUAAAGAUAGGGUCUUGCUAAGUUGCAGAGGCUGGCCUUGAACUUUUGAUCCUCCUGUGCCAGCUUUCCCAGUCACUCAGAUUACAGGCAUAGAGCCACAAUCCCAGCAAAGUUGCUAUUAAGAUUGCUAGGAAUGUUCCACAGGAUUAUUGACAAUCAAGCCAGAGGCUUUUCAAAGAGCCAUUCAGGGGAGAGGUAAUUACAAGUAGUAUUUGCCCACGUGCCCUAGAAGCCACAUUGAGCCAUCCUGAAACCUUGAACCUGGAAUAUAACUGGCGCUCUCAUAGGGAGGCAAUCAAGACAGUGCCCAGAGAGAGUAGUUUUGAGAUGGGGAAGCUAAGUGGACUUGGGACCAGUGCUUCCCAAAGCUUUUAUUUACUAUUUUGUAUUUAAACAUCUCCAGGGAAGGAUAGUGCACCAGACCCGCUCACACAGUGCACAUGAUGCAACUUUUACAAUAGCUCUACCAGGUAGUAGUUAUUUCUGUUUUAUAGAGGAGGAUGAAGGGAGACUAGACUUGCCCAAGGGCACACAGCAAGUUCUCAGGGCUGGGGUUCAGACAAAAGUAUGCACUGUCCGGCAUCUGUGCUUAAAUCCUAGCUCUUAAAUAAAGACCAUGUGGUGCCAGACCAUAAGGCAUUCCUUUCUCUGAGGUUGAGAAGGAUACAGGCAAGUCAACACAAAGCCAGGUUGGCUUGUGAGCAUAACUGGAGCAGAAAACCUCAAUAUAAGAGCGGUGGAAAUUUUCAUACACCAGGAGGGGCUUGAGAAGGCUUUCUGGAAGAGGUGGCAUUUGAAGAAUGAAAGGCAGUCACCAUGCAGAGGGGACAGCAACAAUAAAAGCUUAAAGGUAUGGAGCCAAACAGGAAGGUCAAUGGAUUUCACAGUCCUCCUCUGCCUUUGCCCAGCUCCGAGGUGACACAUGUGGUGAUGGAACAGACCUCAGUGAAGGAGGCCAUCUGCUGGCAGAAGCACAUGGCUGCUGCUCUCCCGUGCUGUCCCCACCCAGCUCUGCUGGACAUCAGCUGGUUCACAGAAAGCAUGGCAGCUGGGCAGCCUGUCCCUGUGGAGGACCGGCAUCGCCUGGAGGUAAGACAGUUCAGGCCUAACUCAGUUGGGAUAGGUGAUGCGCAGCAGCAGUGCCCCAGUGCCCUCCAGAGGGCUCUGCUCAGAUCACCUGGGGUGCCUGAGAAUCAGCAGAGAAGCCAUGGCAAGAGCUGGGGCUGGACCAUCCCAGCUUCUGUCCUCACCACUUGAGGUUCACUUAUGUUUAGCUUCUUCAUGCCUUCCAAAGUGGGGCAGCCCCUGCAGCUGGGGCUUCACUUCUUCCUCAAUGAGUAAUUGGGAUGAUCCAUGGAUUGGUAGGAGCCUAUCCUUGGGACUCUAGAGAGCUAGACUGCUUGUACUCAAAUCCUGGCUCUACCUGUGAGCCAUGAGGGAGGAGGCAUGCUCCCUAACCUUGAAACUUUAGUGUCCCCAGCCCACUUGAUUGUGAGGAUUUGGGGAGGCAGGAAAAGUGCACUGUGAGGAUUAACAGAUUAUUGCUACUACUCUGGUCUGAAGAGCCUUGUCCUCAGUUUGUUCUGCAAUGUAGUCUGUCUGUCCCUCCAUAUAGGGCUCUGAACCACCAAGACCCAUUGCUGUGUCUCCCUCUGCCCAUGCCUGUAGUUCACUACCUCUGUCCUGUGAACUCUAGAGGGCCCAAGGUGAAUGCUCAGGAGAGUCAGGACUCUGAUUGCUGCCUGUUUCUGUCAGCCCUGAAGCCUCAUGAUCUGUGCAUUGCCCUUCUGCAGGUGGUUGAGCCCAGGAAUGAGCCCCCAAGCCUAGUGUGGGUGUCGAUUUAUGCCUGCCAGCGUCCCACACCCCUCACACACCACAAUACCAUCCUCUCGGUGAGUCAUGUCUGUGAGAAAUUUUUAGCUUUCAGGGGACAGGGACAUGGGUACAGCUGGAUGGUAGCUGGUAGAUUGAAGCAAAGUGUCCUGCCCACUCUGCCCCUUAACCAAGGGCCUCUCCCUGCAGGAGGCCUUGGAGACUCUGGCAGAGGCAGCAGGCUUCGAAGGCAGUGAGGGCCGCCUCCUUUCCUUCCGCAGAGCAGCCUCUGUGCUCAGGGCCCUUCCUUGCCCUGUCACUUCCCUGAGUCAGCUGCAGGGGUUGCCCCACUUUGGAGAACAUUCUUCCAGGGUUGUCCAGGUAGGUGUCUGCCAUGUGUAGCCAGGUGAGUAGGUGGGGUGGGGAGGCCCUGGGGCCCAGUGAAACAGCCACGAGUCCUGGUAUUUCAGACCCCAAUGUGGAGAGACAAACAUGCACAAAGAUGCUGCUCCAAGACCACCACAGCCCACCUUUAGCACAGAUCCCUUGUGAGUCACUUACCUCCCUCAGAGUGCCUGAGAGGACUCGAUAAAGGGAGCUUCUGGCAUUGGUGUCAUUGUCAUUUGUCCCAAACUGCCCAGGGUGGGGGAAGAGAGCAACCAAGUGUAAGUUUUUGAAAACCCACAUGUUAAGCUGCCCUUCUGUGCACUUUCACUGUGAGAGCACAAAGUAAACAAAAGAUGCUUUUAGAUAAACUGAUACAUGUUUUUAAAAAGAAAAUGUUUAUAGAUCCUGGAGCUAUUUUAUCUGAGAGAUGACCAGUAUUACCUGGGACCUAAGCUGUUGUAACUCUAACCUCAAGGAGCUUUGAAGCUAGAGCCCCAUCUCAUCCCCCAGUUGUGUGGCAGCAGCUUUUGUCACUGCCCUGGGCACACUGUCCAUUGCCAAGUCCCACUGUAUCCUCAUAUCACAAAGCCCCUGUCUGUAGGGUGUGGAAAGGACCCCCAGCCCCUACCCUGACUGCUGUUCUCUUUCCGGUUCCUGUGGCUCAGUGUUUUGCUUUGUCUCCUCCCCCAGGAACUGCUGGAGCAUGGAGCAUGUGAGGAGGUGGAGAGAAUUCGUUGCUCAGAGAGGUACCAAACCAUGAAGGUGCGCAGGGAACUUGACAAGGGUGCACAGCACUGUCCAAAGCACUUACAAGGGAGGCAAGCAGGGGUGGCUGAUCCAGCUCUGGGGUCAGAGAAGGUCUUACUGAGGAAAUGGCAGCUAAGCAGACACCUGAUAUGCUCUGGCCACCAAAUGAAGACAGGCAGAAGCCUGUUUUGAGCAUGGGGAGUUUUCUAGAUCACUGAGAGCACCAUCUGUUUUAUUAGACUGUUUUUGACAGACUAAUUUUAAGCAUAUUAGCACACUGAACAAACUAUAACCUAUUCUUGGGUGCUAUAGGACCCAAGUUGUGUGUAGUAGGGCUGCCACUUUACACUGUGCUUUCUGUGAUCUUGUGUGUUACUUUUUCUAUACUGUGGGCCCACCUGUCUCCAUGGUGCAUCUUCCCCCUGUGCCUGCUCACUGCUAACCUGGUAGGGAGGCACCUCCAACACUUCUGGAUACCUCAGUUUAUCUUCUCAGACAUUCCAAAAUUCUUGGGAAGAGUCUGAGUGCUUGGCCCAGUGGCAGGUGAAGUGCUUGGCCCAGGGUCCUCUGAACUGGUCCAUGUUCAGACCCUCUCCACUCCAUCCCUUUGUGUAUGGGUGAGAGCAGCACCCACCAUCCUGAUGUUCUGGAGGCUUGAGUAAACCCAGCUAGCCUAUCCAGUACAUUUGCUGAAGCCACUCUCUCAUUUAUUAACUCCAUGUUGUUUUUGCUGUUUCUUGAAGAGAACCAUAGACAUAAGUUCCAGCUGCUGUAAGUGGGAGAGGCAUGGUUUUCCCAGUGAACCAAGAGAUGUAUUAAGAUGACUCUUGGUUCUGUUGGAAGCACAGGCUGGACCUAUGUUUUAGUAGAGGGGUGAGGAAAUAGCUUACCAAGGUCUUUCCUCAGCUUUCAGCAACUGGGCAGCAAAGCCCCCAACAUACUGCCUCUCCUGGGGCUUCUGCCAUGGUGUGUGAGUUCACUCCUCUGUGUUAAUGGGCUGGGCAGGCCAGACACUGGGUUUGAGUCUUCAGCCCAUGAUCUUGGGCAUGAAGGCAACACCUCAGGUGCAUCUUCCUGUGGGUGCUUUGUUCCUGUUCCAACUGUUCCUUCCUCUACAUAGCUCUUCACCCAAAUCUUUGGGGUUGGGGUGAAGACUGCCAACCGCUGGUACCAGGAAGGGCUGCGAACCCUGGAUGACCUCCGAGGACAACCUCAGAAACUGACCAAGCAGCAGAAAGCAGGUGAGUCCCCCAGAGAGGACUGGCCUUGGGCUUCCACAAAGUCAUUUGGAUCUGGAAAGUUCUGUACACUGAAGCCCUCAUACUGGCACUGGAUGUACUGAUUGCAUGAGUGGCAGAGGUGGGUGGUGCAAAGGGGUCCUGGUAUCAGGUACGUGGACUUCUUGGAAUUUCUCUACCUGAAGUCAGAUUCUGCUGUGGCUCUUUUAGUGAGCAGUUGUGGUCACAGCAGUGCUGUGACCUCUAGGACCCAUGAGGCUCCCUCUGGUUAGGCUUGGACUUAGGUGAGGGACAGCCUGGGUCUUGACCCACCUAUCCAGGAUGUGCCUUGUGCAUAUGGGUCAGCUGAGUCCUGCCCACCAUUUUCCAGGUAUGUGACCAUGGUCCCAAGACUAAACUCUCUGAAUCUCAGUUACCUUUUCUGUGAAAUGGGAGAAAUGACAAUGUGGAAUGCCAUAAACUCCUCUGUGAUCCAGCAGGUGGCAGGUAUUAAGCAGACACUCAUUCGGCCUGUGUGUCCUGCCUGGUGCUGCCACCAUACUGUCUGGACCUAGCCUGGUUGAGGGCUUUGCUAAAGGCACCAUAACCAGCAGUAUGCCCAUUCCCCACCUCUUUGCACAUCUCCCUGGGGCUCCAGCAUAGUGCAGAUGACAGUCAGAGAAACCUACUUUUUUUAACCUGUUCUCAGGACAAAGGUAGAUAGUAUUACCAUCCAUUGUUUACUAAGGACUUGUUCUGUGCUGGAUGCUGCUGUUCUUCACAUUUAAAUCUUUCUUUAACUACAUGUGGAAGGUACGAUGAUAUCCCCUUGACAGGUGAGGAAAUAGAAGCAGGCUAAAAGAUGGGUUUCUAUUGGUAGAGUUACCUUCUUCACACUUUUUUGCCACCUUUUUGUUGCAUUUUAUUUAUGGGAAAACAGAAGGCUUAAAAGAAAUAUCUGCAGCCUGCUUGUGUCAACAUCAGUACCCUUAGAUUGAGUUCUAUGAGAUUUGUAAGGUGUUACCUUUGAGGGGAACUGGGUAAAGGGCACAGAGACCCCCCACCUCCCUCUCUCCCCCCUCCCCCUUUCCCCCUCCCCCUCCCUCCCUCCCUCCCUCCUUCCUUCCUUCCUUCCUUCCUUCCCUCCCUCUCUCUUUCCCUCAUUCCCUGUCUCCCUCCCUCCCUCCCUCUCUCUCUCUCUUUGGGGGCGGUACUGGGGAUUGAACUGAGGGGCACUUGACCACUUGACCCAUCCCCAACCCUAUUUUGUAUUUUAUUUAGAUACAGGGUCUCACUGAGUUGCUUAGUGCUUUGCUUUUGCUGAGGCUGGCUUUGAACUUGCGUUCUUCUUGCCUCAGCCUCCCGAGUGCUCAGCCCAGCUGAGCAUCUCUUUUAAUUCCCAUGAACUGCGUGUGAAUCUACUAAUUAUCUCAAAAUUAAAAUUUAAUAUUUAAAAGGGGAUAGUGUCAUGCUUCUAUUGGGAUCACUCAGCUUCUGCCAUAGCCUGUCCCUCCUCAGAGGCUUUUCCCUAUCUCACAGCCACAGGGAUGGGUGACUGCCUGAUACUAGAGGAUGGGGCUCUGUGGGGAAUGCAGGCUGAGAGAGUCAGGAGGACUGUGCUGCCCACAGGGCUCCAGCAUCACCAGGACUUAAGCACUCCAGUUGGACGGCCUGAUGCUGAGGCUCUGCUGCAACUGGUAGAGACAGUCGUGGGCCAGGUCCUGCCUGGGGCCACUGUCACGCUGACUGGUGGCUUUCGAAGGUAAGGGGGUUUGACAUACCCUUCUGGCUCACCUCCAGGACUCUCCCCAAUGCAGUUGGGGACAUUGAGGUGGCUUUCCCAUUCACUGGGAGGGGCAUGGCCCAUAGCUGGAAUGAGGGCUAUGUCCUUAUCCUUCUCAGGGGCAAGUUACAGGGCCAUGAUGUGGACUUCCUUAUCACCCACCCUGAGGAGGGCCAGGAGGCAGGGUUGCUGCCGAGAGUGAUGUGCCACCUGCAGAGCCAGGUGAGGGCUUCUGGUGCCUCUGCCCAAGAGUUGACUGCUACCUGGCCUUCUGUUCUCCUAGUACCAUGGUGGUGCCUGGCCACAUCUGCCUUUCCCCACAGGGCCUUAUCUUGUAUCAUCAGCACCAAGCCAGCUGCUUAGAGACCCCUACUCACCUUGUCCAGCGGAGCCAUACCAUGGAUGCCUUUGAGAGGAGUUUCUGCAUCUUCCGCCUGCCUCAACCCCCAGGAGCUGCCUUGGGGGGUGUCCUGAAGCCUUGCUCAGCGUGGAAAGCUGUGAGGGUAGAUCUGGUGGUUGCUCCCAUCAGCCAGUUCCCUUUUGCUCUGCUUGGCUGGACUGGCUCUCAGGUAGGUUGUGUGCUGCUGAGGCUGCCAGGGCUGAGGUGAGCCAACCAUACUGAGGGCAGUUACUCCCCCCAGCUUUUUGAGCGGGAACUGCGCCGAUUCAGCCGGAAAGAGAAGGGACUGUGUCUGAAUAGCCAUGGACUGUUUGACCCAGAGCAGGUAUGUCAAGGAUUAGGGUGGGAAACAACCCCCUAGCCUGCUUCCUGGAUCACAGCCUGAAAUGGCCCUAAAUCUCUCCAUCCUGGAACCCAUGGUGCCCAGAUCUUGGUCUUACCUCCCAGAUCCUAGCCCUCCCCAAAAGGCAUCUUGCCUUAGCACUGGGCUCUGCCUCCCCAUCUAGCCUGUCUCCAGGGGAGCCAUCCUGGCUGGGCACCCUGUGCAUUGUGCAAUGGUGCCACUGGGCAUGGCCCCCAGCUUCUGAAGCCUCUGCUUCUGUUGCAGAAGACAUUUUUCCAUGUGGUUUCCGAAGAAGACAUUUUCAGACACCUGGGCCUCAAGUACCUUCCCCCAGAGCAGAGAAAUGCCUGAUCCAGCCCAUCUGCCCUCACUCCUCUUAGGAAACGGGGGGCUGCUGGACACUUUUGAAUAUCUCCAGGCAGAAGAUACGCUGCCACGCCAUAUCCUCAUCUCCAAGUGGAAGAGUCUUUACCUGUGGGAGCGUCUGUGAGGCGCGGCCUUCCUCACACUCCAGCCUUAUAGCUGUGUGAUCAUGGUCAGCAUUCAGCCUCCCCAGGCCUCAGGUUCCCACCUGGGUCAGGAAAUCUGAGCAGUACUCAAGUCAUGGAGCUGUGGCAGAGCCUGCAGUCCCAGUGCGGCAAUUGAGGUGUGGUUGAAUGUCUUCUAUAGGGCACCCCACUCAGUUGCCCAGAAGAGAACCGUGUAUCCCUGCCCUGCACUUGAGCCAUGAGGUGGAAGCUGUAGUUCUUGCUCUUAGGAGUCCUCUGUGGAGGUUAAAAUGGGUAUGCUGCAAUCACCUGGAAUGAGUGAAGGUCCAAGUCACGAGAACUUCCAAUGCUGGGAUUUUGGCACUGCAGCCCCUACCCUGCUUCUGCCUUUAAGUCCUAUACUCUCCCUACUUCAAAACAGGUCACACCCUGCCACUUCUUGCUCAUAGUCCUGCGGCAUUCCAAAUCCCCAAAUCCUCAUGUGAUCCCCUAGGGUUCUAGCAUUUCUGCCACCCCUGCCAAUCUCAUCUGCACUCUUCUUUCAAUACCCCCCGCCCCACCCCUCAUUUGCUUCCUGUUUCACUGUUUCCUACUGAUGUGCUCAGACCCCAUGUCUCUGACUCCCUCCCCUUUCUAAGGCAGAAACACUGAAAUGAGCUGGACACACAGGUGUCCUGUGUGUUCCCUGAUCUCCUUCAGGGCCUUUGCCUUUGCCACUCUUCGCCUCCUUCAGGACUUGACUCAAGGUCAUCUUGUCAGUCACAGCUUCCCAGACUACUCACCACAUCACAAAGUGUUUUUUAAAUUAACAUGCAAUAAAAUGCUAUCUUUUAAGGUUUGUUUUUAAUGAGCUUUAACACAGGUAUAGACUCUGCCAUCUCAGGACCCAAAGGUCUGUCCCCCAAGCAUUGCCUUAUGCCAUUGCAUUAUUGCCACAUGUUCUUUAUCCCAACUCACUCAUUUUGUUCACUUAUCUACAAUUUUGCCCUCUCCAGAAUCUCAUAGAAGUGGAACCAAAUUCUCCCUUUUACUUGCCUCUCUCUCAUCAUGCCUUUGAGAUUCACUCAGGUUUUUGCAUAUAUUGAUAGUUUAUUUUUAUUUAUUGCCACAUAAUAUUACAUUCAUGGGGUGUUCCAGGAUUUAUCUGUUCAGCUACUGAAGAAUGUUUAGAUUGUUUCCAGGGUUUGGUGAUUAUGAAUAGAGCUACUGUAGCCAUGUGUAUAUAGAUUAGUGGGUAACAUACCUUUUCAGUUCUCUUGGGUAAAUAUGAAGGUAUAGGAAUAUUGGGUUAUAUGAAAAGUAUGUUUUUAAGAAAGAGCUAAAUUGUUCAGAAUGCCUGUCAUUUUCCAUUUUAUCAGCAGUGUGAGCCACCCAUAUAAGUUAAACAUUUCAUAGUAGCAGUUACUGUGUAUCUGUCAGCAAUUGAUAAUUUUGGUUUUUAUUUUAGCUGUUCUAUGAUAGGUCUGUAGCACUAAUUAACUGCCUUCCUUUUUUUUUUUCCCCUUUCCCUUCCUUUCUGGGGAUUGAAACCACGGGCUUGUGAAAUAGUAAGCUCACACUCUGCCAUUGAGCUAUAAUCCCAGCCCAUUUAUUAUGGUGGGUUUUUUUUGGUGUGUGUGUGUGUGUGUUUGUGUUUGUGUGUGUGUGUGUGGCAGGACUAGGGUUUGAUACCAGGGCCUUGCAAAUGUUAGGCAAGCACUCUACUCUGGGCCACAUCCCCAUCAAUACUUUUAUUUAUUUUUAUGUGAUGCUGAGGAUUGAACCCAGUACCUCACACAUGCUAGGUAAGCACUCUAACACUGAGCUACAACCCCAGCUCCCCAUCCUUUUUUAUUUUGGGAUAAGGUCUCUAAGUUGCCCAGACUGCUUUGAAGUUUCAAUCCUCUUACCUCUGUCUCCUGAGUAUCUGGGAUGAAGGCAUGACCACCGUGCUCAGCUGUUAUUUUUUUGUUUUUGUUUUAGGAGCAGUCUUUUAUUUAUUUAUGUUUGCAGUCUUUUGUUUUUAUACACUUUGACAAAGAGGUUUUCAGGAGGCAAUCUUUUCAGUGGAAAAUAGAGAACAUGAAAAUUUGCCUCCAGCUAUCAGUAGCUGCUCUGUUCAGAGUCUGUCAUCCCACUUGCUCAAGGAAUGAAGUGGAGGGGUGUAUUUCCCUUCCUUUCCUAGCUGAUUUCAGUACUUUAUCCUCCCAACACCUGUACUAGGGUUUGAACCCCAAGGGGUGCUUAACCACCGAGCCACAUCCCUAGUCCUUUUUUAUUUUUUAUUUAGACAGGGUCUUACUGAGAUGCUUAGGGCCUUGCUAAAUUGUUGAGUCUGGCUUUGAACUCAUGAUCCUCCUGUAACUGGGGUUACAGGUCUGCCCUCGAAUCCUACUGCUUCUUGAUGGUAUUCAUGUGUUUUGUCAUUUUCUGCCUAAGCAUAUAUUCUGUGAAAUCAAAUCUGUUUUGUACUCUAUGCCUAGAUGUUAUUGGUUUUAUGUGCACAUGCUCUCCAUUCUUUUUCAAAAGCAUGGCAUUGAAUAGGAACUUUGGAUUGUCAUCUAAUGGUCUAUAUUAAGGCCCAGCCUUUUCUGCACAUCAGAAAAAGGCAUGGCACUUGGUUCACACCUGUAAUCCCAGGAACUCGGGAGAUGAGGCAGAAGGAUUGCAAGUUUGAGGUCUCAGAUUUUUUAAAAUGAC